rnacentral:rRNA from 1 species
AACGAACGCUGGCGGCAUGCCUAACACAUGCGAGUCGAACGAGACCUUCGGGUCUAGUGGCGAACGGGUGCGUAACGCGUGGGAACCUGCCCUUAGGUUCGGAACAACCUCCCGAAAGGGGUGCUAAUACCGGAUAAUGUCUUCGGACCAAAGAUUUAUCGCCUUUGGAUGGGCCCGCGUUGGAUUAGCUAGUUGGUAGGGUAAAAGCCUACCAAGGCGACGAUCCAUAGCUGGUCUGAGAGGAUGAUCAGCCACACUGGGACUGAGACACGGCCCAGACUCCUACGGGAGGCAGCAGUUGGGAAUAUUGGACAAUGGGCGAAAGCCUGAUCCAGCAAUGCCGCGUGAGUGAUGAAGGCCUUAGGGUUGUAAAGCUCUUUUACCCGGGAUGAUAAUGACAGUACCGGGAGAAUAAGCUCCGGCUAACUCCGUG